rnacentral:sRNA from 2 species
AAGCUACACUUGCUGAAUCCUGAAUUUUCCAGGUACGGAGGAACCACUAAGGGGUUAAUCCAUAUUGUCUAUGGUAGGGAACCUUCUAUCCCGAACCCGUCAGCUAACUUCGGAAGCAGAACAAGGAAGGAGUG